rnacentral:RNase_P_RNA from 1 species
UGAGUCGGCCGGGCGGCCGCGGCGCCGCGAACCACCCCAACCUUGGGGCAGGCGCGGGUCGAGGAAAGUCCGGACUCCACAGGGCACGGUGGUUGCUAACAGCAACCCGGAGCGAUCCGCGGGAAAGUGCAACAGAAAGUAGACCGCCUCGGCAACGAGGUCAGGGUGAAAGGGUGCGGUAAGAGCGCACCGGCAUCUGCGGUGACGUAGGUGGCCAGGUAAACCCCACCGGGAGCAAGGCAAGAGCCCCCGCCGCAAGGCGGAGGUCGUCGGAUGUAGGCUGCCCGCCCAGUCCGAAGGUAGCUGCUUGAGGCGCCCAGCGAUGGGUGGUCCAGAUGGAUGGUCGCCGCCCCGCAAGGGGAACAGAAUCCGGCUCAUAGGCCGACUCAUUCG